ACUCAAAUGAAUUGACGGGGGCCCGCACAAGCGGCGGAGCAUGUUCAUUAAUUCGAUGCAACGCGAAGAACCUUACCUGGGUUUGACAUAUACCGGAAACAUCUGGAGACAGGUGCCCCGCAAGGUCGGUAUACAGGUGGUGCAUGGCUGUCGUCAGCUCGUGUCGUGAGAUGUUGGGUUAAGUCCCGCAACGAGCGCAACCCUCGUCCUAUGUUGCCAGCGGUUCGGCCGGGAACUCAUAGGAGACUGCCGGGGUCAACUCGGAGGAAGGUGGGGAUGAGGUCAAGUCAUCAUGCCCCUUAUGUCCAGGGCUUGAAACAUGCUACAAUGGCUGGUACAAAGGGCUGCAAUACCGCAAGGUGGAGCGAAUCCCAUAAAGCCAGUCUCAGUUCGGAUUGGGGUCUGCAACUCGACCCCAUGAAGUCGGAGUCGCUAGUAAUCGCAGAUCAGCAAUGCUGCGGUGAAUACGUUCCCGGGCCUUGCACACACCGCCCGU
rnacentral:rRNA from 1 species